CCGCAGACGGGACACAGAGCCUGCUUCAAAAAUUCUUUCGGACCCCGAUAGAGGGACCUGAAUUUACUCGCUUGGUAAGAGAUUAUUUUGCAGGGGAGAUCAGGAACUUUUUCCUGGGUGACAAUGAUUUUGGGCAGGGUAAUUUUCUAAUGUUUGGAGCUGUUUGUAGAUGUGGAUAUUUUCCAGAAGAUUCAUUGCUGACCAGAACCAGAGUUUCCAUCAAGGGUGGUGGGUUGUCUUUAAUUGAAAUUCCUGACUUUACAGUGUCUAGAGGACCGUGGCAGUUUAUCUGAAAAUGGCGACCCAAACCAUGGACGUGGAGCCUGUUCAGACCGUGAACGCAAUUGAUGCCGCCAUCGCCGAGCUGAAGCUGAUGGCCGGCCACAGCCAUGAAGCUAAUGUGCUGGCUGGCAGGCUGCUUCAUUUUAAGAUGAGAGAAGUUUGUACCCAGACUGUGGCUCAGUUUCUGGAUGCCUUUUCCAGCGUGUUGGAUGAAGGGCUGUGUGCCUUUAUUGGAAACUACAGCCAGAGUUUGGAUGAGAUGGUUCAGCGGUAUGUGUCUGGGGGCUUUGCGGCUGUGAAGGAAAAUGGUUAUCUGGCAGCUGCUAGGUUUUAUGACACCUAUGUGCUUAGAAAUGAUGUCAAGUAUGAGAGUGUCCCCCACAUGUUUAUGCGCAUUUCGGCAUUUUGUGCUUAUCACUGCAUACAGAAUGAGUGUCUCUUCAAGACCUUGAAGCAUAUGGAGCUAGACAGGGGGAAUGUUGUGGAGAAUGCCAUGGAUUUGAUUACUUAUUUCUUUGAGAUGAUUGCUUCUCAGCAGGUGUGCUGUGCCACGCCCGUGAUGAGAUCCGCUGGUUUGAGGGAUGCUAAUUUAAGUAGUUGUUUCAUCUUUGCCCCCGCCCUGGACUCUGAGGAAAAAACUGUGGAUGCAGUGUUUUCUGAGUUAACAAAGCUGUUGGCGUGUAAGUCGGGAGUGGGUAUGGAUCUGUCCACCUACUCUCAUGGAAAGAACCUGCAUGCUGUCCUGAAGGCCCUUGAUGGACAGAUCACUUACUUUAAUGAUCACAAUAUUAGGCCCGUCAGCGUGGCUGCCUAUAUGGAGAUUUGGCAUACCAACAUCAUGGACUUUCUGACUGCGAAGCUUCCAGAGAACCCAGAACGAUGUGGCAACUUAUUUCAAGGAGUGUGCAUACCAGAGAUUUUCUUCAGAACCUACAAAAAUGAUCCAGAGUCCAAUUGGUACCUGUUUGAUCCCAAGAAGGCCGAAGUCCUAACAAACACCUAUGGGUAUAUGUUUAGUAUAGCCUACGCAGGAUUAGUGGAGCAGGGGGCAUAUGAAGCAGUGGUUCCCAUUAAGAGCGUGAUGUUCGCUCUUGUUUCCUGCAUAAUAAAGACUGGGGGGCCUUAUAUUUUGAACAAGAAAGCUAUAAACAGACAUGACUGGCAUGAAUGGUCCACACAUCAGUAUAGGGCCAUUAAUUGUGCAAAUCUUUGUGCAGAGGUGAUACAGUAUCCAGGAGAGAACGUGUCCACCUGUAACCUGGCCAAUAUCUGUCUGCCAAAGUGUUUGGAGGAUGACAAAUUUGUCUCUGGAAAGAGUUGUCUACUCACGUACGAGCGUGAGUUUUCCAUUGAGAGGCUGGAGAGGGCCACAGAGGCUGCAGUGUUUAUCAUCAAUGCCUGCAUCCAUGGUGGCACUUUACCUACACAGAGGGCCAGGCGGGGGCAGAGUGACAGGUCUAUGGGUAUUGGAGUACAAGGAUUAGCAGAUACCUUUGCUAUGAUGGGGUUGGGAUAUUUUGAUGCAGGGAGUGAGAUACUUGAUCAGAAGAUAGCAGAGACCCUGUAUUUCAAUGCACUCAAUACCAGUAUCAACUUUGUGAAGAUAGGCAAGGGGGAACCCUAUGCUAACUAUGAGCAGAGUAAGCAUUCCAUUGGGGUGCUCCAUUGGCAUGACUGGGACAUGUGUAGCCCCAUGGUCUAUACAAGAGAUGAGUGGGAAGAUUUGGCAAGGUCCUGCGAGGUACAUGGUGUAUACAAUUCACAAUUUGUGGCCUAUAUGCCUACUGCUGGCACUGGGCAAAUCACAGGUUACUCAGACUCCUUCUAUCCAUUUUAUUCAUCCAUGUCAUCCAAGGUGUCAAAUAAAGAAGAAAUCUUGCGACC
rnacentral:lncRNA from 1 species